AGUCCAUUGGGGUAGCUGGCCAAUCCUGUUGCCUUCUGGGGGCAACGACCCUGGUUCGAAUCCAGGAUGGACUA
rnacentral:tRNA from 2 species